rnacentral:rRNA from 1 species
GAUGAACGCUGGCGGCGUGCCUAAUACAUGCAAGUCGAGCGAACAGACGAGGAGCUUGCUCCUCUGACGUUAGCGGCGGACGGGUGAGUAACACGUGGAUAACCUACCUAUAAGACUGGGAUAACUUCGGGAAACCGGAGCUAAUACCGGAUAAUAUAUUGAACCGCAUGGUUCAAUAGUGAAAGACGGUUUUGCUGUCACUUAUAGAUGGAUCCGCGCCGCAUUAGCUAGUUGGUAAGGUAACGGCUUACCAAGGCAACGAUGCGUAGCCGACCUGAGAGGGUGAUCGGCCACACUGGAACUGAGACACGGUCCAGACUCCCACGGGAGGCAGCAGUAGGGAAUCUUCCGCAAUGGGCGAAAGCCUGACGGAGCAACGCCGCGUGAGUGAUGAAGGUCUUCGGAUCCUAAAACUCUGGUAUUAGGGAAGAACAAAUGUGUAAGUAACUAUGCACGUCUUGACGGUACCUAAUCAGAAAGCCACGGCUAACUACGUG